AAGGACCAACAUAGUAUCAUCAGCAGGUGACAGCCCACACAGGACAGGAGUGAGCCGCGCAUUUGGGACAGCAGAGACCGGCAGCAAAGCCUGAGGCUCACGGGAUGGGAGUGUUGCUGGGGGCGGAGAACAAGGGCCCCUCCCGGAAAGGGCAGAGGUGACACGAGGGGGAAGGCAGCUCCGCCAGGGCAAAUAAGAUCAAGUCAGGAUGGGCAGACGGCAGCAAAAGGAGCCACGCAGGAGCCACCCCCCGGGAAGGGAAAAAGAAAACCCCACUGGGGAACUGGGCUUCUGAGCCCACCUCCUCGUUUCCCUCUGGCCUCAUCCCACCCCAGUGAGAAGUGAUUCCGCUGCUGCCCACCUCGCAUUUAUUCUUGGCUGGACCCGCUUGCCGCAUCUGCGAGGACGAAGCACCAUAGACCAGGUGUUUGCACAACGGAAUCUCUUCUCUCCCAGCUCUGGAGGCUGGAAGUCCGAGAUCAAGGUGUGGGCCAGCAGCACUUCCUCCGGGGGCUCCUUCCCUGUCCCUUCAGCUCCCGGUGGCCGGCCAUCCCAGCUGUGCCUCGGCUUGUAGAUGUCCAUGCCUCGCUGCAGCCUCUGCUUCCACUGUCUCGCCACCCUCUUCCCUGGUGUCCCUCUGCGUGUCCUCUCCUCUGCUUAUGGAGACACCAGUCAUUUGAUUUAGGGCCCACCCUACUCCAGGAAGACCUCAUCUUCACUCACGACAUCUACAAAAACCCCAUUUUCUUUUUUUUUUUUUUUUAGAUGAAGUCUUACUCUGCCGCCCAGGCUGGAGUGCAAUGGCAUGACCUUGGCUCACUGCAACCUUCGCUUCCCGGGUUCAAGCGAUUCUCUUGCCUCAGCCUCCCAAGUAGCUGCCAAGUAGCACCUGCCAUCAUGCCCGGCUAAUUUUUGUAUUUUUAGUAGAGAUGGGGUUUCACCAUGUUGGCCACGUUGGUCUUGAACUCCUGACCUCAGGUGAUCCCGCUCACCUUGGCCUCCCAAAGUGCCUGGGAUUACAGGCAUGAGCCACCACACCCGGCCAAAAAACCCUAUUUUCAAAUAAGUGCAGAUUCUGAGGCUCUGGGUAGAGAUGGAUUUGGCAGGGACACAAUUCAAACACACUACAAUAAGUGAUGUCAUCAAGGUAGAGAAACAGAAAAAUAGAAAGAGAAAACCUCUGUCUCUGUUCUGUGUCUCUGUGAUCUUAUGAGAACAUCCCAGAACAAUGUAUUCAUCCUUAAAUGAUGUUAGGUCCAGGCAAUUCAGCCCAACUCCAUGUCUAAGCAUCAGAAGACCCAGCUGGACCCAUCGCCUUGUGUGCUAAAGACUCCAGUGAAAGCAACUGCCCUACCCUGCUGCCACUGGCCCCACCACCGCCGCUGGCUCGAUACACACCAGGGCUGGGGCUGGUGGCGUCAGAGCCACAUCAGUGGAGAUGUCCACUGGGGAGUGUGCGGGAGACCUUGGGGUCUAACCAAGCCUGUGAUCAGUAAAUAGGUGAAGACAGAGUUAGCUCUAAGUCCUCUCUCUGCCGCGUACUAGCUCUGCAGCCUUGGGCAAAUCUCUGAACCUCUCAGAGCCUCAGUUUCCUCCUCUGGGAAAUGGAGGCAUCAAUGGCUACUGUUUACUGGGCGCUGUGAUGUGCAGCAAUGCUGUAAGGAUUUCCUGCAUUAACUCACUUAGUCCCUGCAAUGACUGUAGGAAGAGCUUUUCAUUAUUACAGUCAUUUCAGAGACAGGAAAGAGCUUAAGUGACCUGCCGAAGGUCACACUGCCUUAAGAAGUGGGUCUGGGUUUUGGACCAGAAGCCUGAGUCCUGACACUGAGCAACUACUCCUGUGGCUUCUCAGGCAUGGCCAUCAAAAGGGGACAACUGAAACAUCGUGGCGCCAGGCAGCCCGAAUGAGGCACUGCCAUCAAAUAGACACUGAUGGCAGACAGCAGAUGGCCCUGUGGGUGUGCUCGCAGCAAGACCUGGUGAAAUCGCGAAGGCAAAGGUCUGAUCGAGUUUGAAUGUGUGUCCCCACCCAAAUCUCAUGUGGAAAUGUGGUCCUGAGUGUUGGGGGUGGGGCCUGAUGGGAGGUGAUUGGAUCACGGCGGCAGAUCCCUUGUGAAUGGCUUAGUACCAUCCCCUUGGUCAUGAGUGAGAUCUGCUUGUUUAAAAGCGUGUGGCACCUCCUGCUGUCUCUUGUUCCCAAUCUCGCCAUGAGACAGGCCUGCUUCCGCUUUACCUUCCACCAUGAGUAACAACUCCCUGAGGCCUCCCCAGAAGCUGAGCAGAUGCCGGUGCCAUGCCUCCUAUACAGCCUGCACAACCAUGAGCCAAUCAAACCUCUUUUCUUAUCAAUUACCCAGUCUCAGGUAUUUCUUUAUAGCAGUGCAAGAAUGGCUGAACACAAGGUCCCAUAUAAAGUUGCUAAUUUUUUUUCUUUCUUUCCCUAGAAGCUCUACCUUCCUCACCAGGAGUUUUUGUCUCCCGUAAAGGCUUCCAGGUCUAAGUGGUGAGCAGUUUGGACUCUUUGGGAGGUGUGAAUGGAAUCCUCCCUCUAACUUGUGAUAAAUAUAUGAAGAAAAGUUGAACCAUUCAUGUACCCCGGCAACCAUCCAUCCAUUAACACUGCUAAGGACCAGUGCUAGGAGAUCCAGAGUCUAGGGGCUUCUGUGGGCCCAGUCCCUGAGGAGCCUGAAAUUUAUCAGGGAGGCCAAAAAGACAAACACCUAUGGUAACAGGUGGAAUGUGGUGAGGAGAAAAGUAUUCUCCGAUUGGAGGAGCACUCACGGUACAGAAAGAAGGAUGAGGGGACUCCACAGGCUGGGGAGCUUGUCCCCAACAUGGCCGAGGUAUUCCUGGCUCUUCACAGACCCAUGGACAAAUGCCCCACCAUCAGAGGACAUUGGGUAGGCUGCCCAUACACCCUCAGCAGACACUGGGCAUGGUACUUGUCCACUGCGUUAGACCUUUCUUGCAUUGCUAUUAAUAAGUACCUGAGGCCGGGCACCAGUGGCUCACACCUGUAAUCCCAGCACUUUGGGAGGCCGAGGUGGGUGGAUCACGAGGUCAAGAGAUGGAGACCAUCCUGGCCAACAUUGUGAAACCUCGUCUCCAUUAAAAA
rnacentral:lncRNA from 10 species